rnacentral:lncRNA from 1 species
GGACAGAGGAAAGAAAUGGAUAAGAAUUUGCAGUAAGACUAGUAUUUGAAACAGUUUUAGGCAUGGGAACUAUCUCAUUAAAAAUUACUAAAAUCUCUCCCUUUGCUAACCUUUUUUUUAAUGUAGUUAUACUGUGCAGAAAUUAGUACUGAUGAAUUCACUCAGACCAUCAAAAUAAACUGUCUGAUUUUCCUAUCAAAGUUGCAGCUGAAGGACAAUAUGGAAAAUAUACUUCUUUACAUAUGGAGCCAUGUGAAAUAUAUUGCAAGAGCUUACUGCUUCUCUGAGGGUCAGGCUUUUCAUCGGAUACAAUUAUCCAUGUGAUUCCUUUAAAGGAAAAUACCACUUAUCAUGUAUUAUAAAAUACAGAGUUCUCAAAUAUUAUAUAAAUACUUAUGUGAAUUCUAAAUCACUUAUCUUUGCAGGAAUACAAACAAUAAAAAGAGGUAAGAAUUCUUCACUGAAUCAAUAUUGGUAUUUUCACUACAGUGGUAGGCUUAAAGAAACUCAAAUAUUUGGGGAGGAGGAGCAGGCUAGUUGUACUAAUAUUUCAUUUUUGUACACAUUCAGAACACAUUAUUCAAAAUACUUUGCUGAAAUCACUUCAUUAAUGUAUGCAACUUCUCAUUCAGGCAUCAUAAACAUAUACAUUAUAUAUUAAACUUAAGAAGAGGAUCACAGUCUACUGACUAGCACAGUUGCUGAAGACGAAGCCAGUCCUAAAACUGAAAAAUAUUGAUCCACAGAAGAUCAGGGUUGGAAAAGGACCUAAAAUUCUGUCCUCCUUUUCCAACAACUUCUAUUGCUCACUUUCAUUUUUAGCACAGUAAUAAAGGUAACUAAAAAUACUUAUAUUUUAUAUCUGUAUAGCCCUUAUUGAAAGUCAUAUCUAUUUUUUAAAAUUCUAUAUUUUGAAACUGAAACAAAACCAAAAAGAGUUUCUCUUGCCCCUCACCGUCCUUCACUGGCAACCACCAAUCUGUCACCUAAAUUCAUUAUACUUAGCUUGUUUGUUUGUUUUAUAGUCUGCAUGUAAGAAAAAAAAAGGUUUCGGUAUUUAUCUUUCUCUGAUUUAUUUAUUUUUAUUCUAUCCACUUUUUAAAAAUCUAUUUUACUCAGAGUUCCUGUCAUGGCACAGCAGAAACAAAUUAGACUAGGAACCAUGAGGUAGUAGGUUCCAUCCCUGGCCUCACUCAGUGGGUUAAGGAUCCAGCAUUGCUGUGAGCUGUGGUGUAAGUUGCAGAUGGGGCUUGGAUCUAGCAUUGCUGUGGCUGUGGAGUAGGCCAGCAGCUGUAGCUCCAAUUCAACCCCUAGCCUGGGAACCUCCAUAGGCUGUGGGUGUGGCCCUAAAACAAAACAAAACAAAAGCAAAAAACAAAUCUACUUUACUUUCUACUUUAUCUUUGUAAUAGUAAUUUAAUCACUCUCAUCCAUAAGUCUAUUUAGUUCCUUUGUUAAAAGCAAUUUUCAUGUUUCUUGUUUGGAAAGGAAGAUUUUCUUUUAAGUGAGCGUCUUAAGAUUUUCUCUUCUAUAUUCAUCAUGUGAAAACAAGGAACUGAAGUAAUUUUUAAUUUCUCUUGUUGCUAAGAGUCUACUUACACUUUGGCCAGGGUGGGUGAGUGGGUGGGAAAUUGGAUUCAAUAAGGGUAAAGAAGGAAACAGCCAUUAAUCUGAACCUUUAGGAUGGGUAGAUUUUUAACAGAUCAAUUUAGAAAACAAGCCUAUUCUAGGUGGAAAGGAUAGCAGAAGCAAAUGUCUUUGAGGUAGAACAGUAUAUAGAUUUAUAAAUAAGAAUCAUCCCAGUUAGUGGAUCUUUGGAAAUAUAUCAUUCACUCCUACCCCCCAUCUCUCUUUCUCUGCCUUAACAAACACUCCAGGUGAGUCUGAUAUAGGUGGUCUACAAACCACACUGAGUGCUACUGAGCAGAACACAGGGGUAGGGAGUGGAACAGGUCAAUACUGAAUUCAGUGUAUUAGGGGAGUUCAGUAACUCACAGCAGCAAUAAUCUCAAUUCCUCUGAGAAUCUCCUAUUCUUCCCCCCAGUCUUUCCCCAUAAUUUAAGCAUUGGCUUAUUAUUUUAGCCUUGUUAUUCUAAGUGGUUUAUUAUUCUUGAUGAAUAGUGAAUUAUUCUAAUGAUGCUUAUUAUUCUAUUCAUUACAACUUGAGGCUGAUUAGGAGUGAAUAGCUGCUAAGGACCUGUUCCAAUAGCCAAAUUAGAUUUCUACAUUUUUAUGGUGCUUAUUUUCCAGUAUCAGUAAUUGUCCUGGCAGUUUUCAUCAUUUAACCAUCUCUUUAUCGGCUUUAAACUGCAUAGAUAUAGUCCAGUAAUUCCAAAAUAAGGAAAUCUCUUUGUAGAGUAAAAAGAAAAAAUUUAAAUGACUUUAUAUUAAACUGAGUGCUUCGCUUUCAAAAAAACUGUCUCACAUCCAUACUUCUUUUCUAAUUAAUGUGACAAAGAUGAUGCAAUGAUACUGCUCUUGUUACUUCAUAAUACGUAUAUAUGAGUCUCUUACUAACAUGCAGUAAAGAGACUCCAAAUUUCAGCUCAUGCUCCUGUGGUCUUCCCUUUCUGUCUGCCCGCCCGCCCAUGGACUUCUGGCUUACUUAUCCAGUUCCUUAAGAUAUUAUUAUAAUAUGUAUAUAAUAUAUGCAUAUACUGACACUCAUGUGUGUGUAUAGGUCCUACCACUGCUCUGGCUGAGUCCUGAUUAGUAUCAUCUUUAUCCAUGUUAUUACUAGUACAGCAUUUGCAUGAUAUCCUAUAACAAUACUGCCUAGUUUUCUCUAUAAAAUCACUCAAUAAUUCAAAACAUUGUUAUUUCAUAUUACCUCUUAUGGCACUAAGUACUGUGAUUGGACACCUAAAAUAGAUGUUAUUUUAUGUCAUUAAGUAUAUACCACUCAAAGAGACCAUUACUAAAAAUACAAAGAGGAAAUGGUAGGAAAGGCAAUAUACAAUAAUUAUUCUUUAUUAUUUUAACUUACUGAUUAAGGGAAAAAGUUCCAGGCCACUGAUAAUGCCACAUAACACAUUUUUUUCUGGUUUUUAAAUUCGAAGCUUAUUCAUUUUCACUUACAAUGUAAUAAAAGUAACUUCUUUAUCCCUCUUUGUAUAGCCUCUCCAUGCUAAUAUAAUGCAGUUUUUUAAAUUAAUUUUCUUCUUUAGGACAUACUUACAGAUAUCUUCUGAUUUCCUUAUACAAUCCGGACUAAUUUUAUUCUAGCCUGUAGCAUGUCUGUCAUCAUAGGAUAUGAUCUUAUUGCUGAUCUGAGUCAUUCUUAGAUGCUCUAUCCUUCUCUUUUUUGAAUCCCUUUUCUCGUUGUUUUGCUCAACUACAAAUGGUAAUUUUCUUUUUUUUUCUUUUUUCUUCUUUUUUUUUUUUUUUUCAGAAAAUGGCUGUGCCUACUAGGUUUUCUGAAUCCCUAUGUGUUUAGAAAUUAUGUCUCUAUACUUCAUGGUCUCAACUUUUAACUGGCCACUUGGCUAAAUAUAAUACAGUUUUAUGUUUAAAAAGUAGCACAAUGUUUUUGCAGUAACCCCUCCUCAAAGAUCUUGCAUUUAUAUCUGACUAAAUUCCAAAUCAAUACUAUCAUAUAAAUAAUCACUCCUAAAAUUGUACAUAUACUAGUGCUAAUUCAAACUUAAGAAUGCAUAAAAAUCAACUGUGGCCAGCCCUACAGCUUUUAAUUUGGUAGGUCUGGAGUGAGGACCAAUAAUAAGAGAUAUACAUUAUCUAUAACUUCUAAAUCCUAGAGGCUUACAAUAUGUACUUGAGCCUUCCUCAAAGUCUACUAAUUUUGAAUUAGAUUAGCACUGGGAAACAUAAUGGCAUGUCAUAAUAUCAUCAAAUUCCUACUAGUAGAAUAGCUAAAGAAAUCCUAAACAUCAAGUUUGUUGACACUUGAAAUGUAGACCAAAGGAACAGGAUAGAAAGCCCAGAAAUAAAUUCACACAUCUAUGGACAAGUAAUCUAUGACAAAGGAGGCAAGAAUAAACAAUGGAGGAAAGAGAGUCUCUUCCAUCAGCGGUGCUAGGAAAACUGGACAUGUAAAAGAAUUACAUUAAAAUACUCUCUAACACCAUACACAAAAAUCAACUCAAAAUGGAAUAAAGACCUAAAUUUAAGACCAGAUACUACAAAACUCUUGGAAGAAAACCUAGGC